rnacentral:rRNA from 1 species
GACGAACCGAGCGAACGUUGUUCGGAAUCACUGGGCUUAAAGGGCGCGUAGGCGGGUGCUCAAGUCCGGGGUGAAAUCCUCCAGCUCAAGUGGAGAACUGCCUCGGAUACUGGGUGCCUCGAGGGUGGCAGGGGUAUGCGGAACUAUCGGUGGAGCGGUGAAAUGCGUUGAUAUCGAUAGGAACUCCGGUGGCGAAGGCGGCAUACUGGUCCACUUCUGACGCUGAGGCGCGAAAGCCAGGGGAGCAAACGGG